ACAUUUACCUUGAGGUAAGCACCCUGUAAAAGUUAUGACCAUGGUUUAUCCAAGAUGCUCUGACAUCAAAUACUAAGCCCUUUCCUCUAACCUGUUCAUAUUACCUUGCCUGCUGUUUCUAGUAGGCACUUAAUUCUUUCUUUCAGGCCGUUGGCUGUCAAGUUGCUGGGUCAGCAUCCAAACUCAGGUCUGCCUGCCUACUGAAGCCAAGAUUUUAAGCAUCACGUUGGAGUACUCAAGAAUGUGCUAGAACAGUGCUACUCAAAGUAGCCAGUCCAUAACCCGUCACCGAUCUCCAAGGAAAUGAAAGAACUUGCUCCAGAAUAUAAAUGAACACAUUGGUUGCUUACUGGGAAAUGGGUCACUGUCCUGGCAGUUACAGCCUAUUGCAAAACUGAAAUCAAAACUAAAGGCCUUGGGAACUUUUAAUCUAAGCAAGAGCUGAUUGUUUUAUAGUGGUGGAUAUCCAGUAUAGUUUCCAACAACUGAAAAUUGAACGUGAAAGGAAAGAAGAAGUACCCAAUCAAUCUCAGGAUCAGUGGCUGGGGGUGCCGUGGCCUUGCACCUAACACUCUUUCCACAUCUAUUGAACCCUCGUUUUGGCAGGAUGUUGACUACCCAGUUCUCCUUUUGCGUCUCUUUCCUGUCUUCUCC
rnacentral:lncRNA from 1 species